rnacentral:tRNA from 1 species
AAGAUUUUAAGUUAAUUAAAACUAAUAAUUUUCAAAAUUAUAAAUAAAAAAAAUUUUUUAAGUCUUA